rnacentral:rRNA from 1 species
GUCUUCUUGACUAUAAUAAGAAGUCUGACCUGCCCAGUGAAAAUUAUUUAACGGCCGCGGUAUUUUGACCGUGCAAAGGUAGCAUAAUCAUUAGUCUUUUAAUAGAGGGCUGGUAUGAAGGGUUUGACGAGGUGUUGACUGUCUCAUUUAAUUUGGAUUUAGAAUUUACCUUUUUAGUUAAAAGGCUAAAAUAUUAUUGGAAGACGAGAAGACCCUAUAGAGCUUUAUAUUUAUUUUAUUAAUUAAUUCUUGUUUAUUAUUGUUUAUUAUUAAAUAAAAUAUUUUGUUGGGGUGACAAAAAUAUAUAAAUAACUUUUUUAUUUAAAUUACAUUGAUUUAUGAUUAGUAGAUCCAAUUUUAUUGAUUGUUAGAUUAAGUUACCUUAGGGAUAACAGCGUAAUCCCCCUCCAGAGUUCAUAUUUACAGGGGGGCUUGCGACCUCGAUGUUGGAUUAAGAUAAUAGUUAGGUGUAGCCGCUUAAUAUAUAGGUCUGUUCGACCAUUAAAUUCUUACA